ACCACCACUAAUUUUCGUAAAGGAACAUGGUAACUCAAAAGAGAAUAUUAGAUGCGUUGGUGAUGGUGAAAUUAUUUCCGACAUUAAA